GACGAACGCUGGCGGCGUGCUUAACACAUGCAAGUCGAACGGAAAGGCCCUGCUUUUGUGGGGUGCUCGAGUGGCGAACGGGUGAGUAACACGUGAGUAACCUGCCCUUGACUUUGGGAUAACUUCAGGAAACUGGGGCUAAUACCGGAUAGGAGCUCCUGCUGCAUGGUGGGGGUUGGAAAGUUUCGGCGGUUGGGGAUGGACUCGCGGCUUAUCAGCUUGUUGGUGGGGUAGUGGCUUACCAAGGGUUUGACGGGUAGCCGGCCUGAGAGGGUGACCGGCCACAUUGGGACUGAGAUACGGCCCAGACUCCUACGGGAGGCAGCAGGGGGGAAUAUUGCACAAUGGGCGGAAGCCUGAUGCAGCAACGCCGCGUGCGGGAUGACGGCCUUCGGGUUGUAAACCGCUUUCGCCUGUGACGAAGCGUGAGUGACGGUAAUGGGUAAAGAAGCACCGGCUAACUACGUG
rnacentral:rRNA from 1 species